rnacentral:rRNA from 1 species
CGGGACGGGUGAGUAAUGUCUGGGAAACUGCCUGAUGGAGGGGGAUAACUACUGGAAACGGUAGCUAAUACCGCAUAACGUCGCAAGACCAAAGAGGGGGACCUUCGGGCCUCUUGCCAUCGGAUGUGCCCAGAUGGGAUUAGCUAGUAGGUGGGGUAACGGCUCACCCAGGCGACGAUCCCUAGCUGGUCUGAGAGGAUGCCAGCCACACUGGAACUGAGACACGGUCCAG